rnacentral:rRNA from 1 species
UACGAAGGGGGCUAGCGUUGCUCGGAAUCACUGGGCGUAAAGGGUGCGUAGGCGGGUCUUUAAGUCAGGGGUGAAAUCCUGGAGCUCAACUCCAGAACUGCCUUUGAUACUGAAGAUCUUGAGUUCGGGAGAGGUGAGUGGAACUGCGAGUGUAGAGGUGAAAUUCGUAGAUAUUCGCAAGAACACCAGUGGCGAAGGCGGCUCACUGGCCCGAUACUGACGCUGAGGCACGAAAGCGUGGGGAGCAACAGGGAUA